rnacentral:lncRNA from 1 species
AUGUAUUCACCAGGGGAGGAGCGGGAUGAAAGCGCUUUUAACCUCCCCGCCAUAAACUUUAAUCGGAUUCCGAGCUGUUGCACGGCAUGGACUCCUCGCCUCUUCUCUGCGUCUCCUUCCCCGUUGUCUCCCAUUUCUACUACGAUCUGCUUUGCGAGAGCCUUUUCCAAGCGAAUGAGUGAUUCCUUUCUCUUGCCAUGUGCAAUCUUUCCCCCCUCCCCUUUCUACCCUCUCUGGCCUCUCUUACACACACUAUGUCUUUCACAUGCGGUCUGUGCCCCCCAGCCCCCUCCCUUUCUUUCUCUUUUGCAGUGUCUUCGCAUGCAAUCUCUCCCUGAAUGUGCAAUGUCUUUCCUGCUCGGGAGUGCUGCGUCCUUCACAGUGGAUUGGUUCCUCUUUCGGAGCAGAGAUCACGGGAAAAGAGAAAAGCAGUCGAAUAUUGUGAUAAUCCUGGGAGCCUGCAGAAGCUGGUUGAUAGAUAUUUCCAAGAAUUCCCCAUGUUCACCAAGGAAUGGUGGGAUCAAUCUCCUUCUCCUGUGGACUUCAGUUCUAUCUUAAUUCAUCAACAGAUGGCAGUAGACAACUCCCUAUCUUCACACCAACGGCCUUAUGAAUGACCCUAUUAAUAACAAAGGAAGGGAAGAAAAAAAUAUAUAUAUUGCUGCUUAAGUCUUCUGUAUAUAAUGUGUUAAUCUAAACCAUGCAGUGCUAAAAUCUCAUAAAGAUUAAUUUUAUGCUGAGUUUGAAUGACUAGAAGCAGCUACUACCUUUGGAAUGGCUAUCUUCCUUGUCAUCUCCUAUGUUUAAAUGAUUCUUUUAUUGAAAUUGAUUCUUUUUAUUUUCCUUGUUGAGAAAGCAUAGUAAAAUAUAUUAUGGCAAAUCCUUUGCUUUUCCCACUGAUCAUAUGACUGUAAUGAAGAAUCAGUUCUCUGAUUGCAGUAAAUACAUUUUUUUUUUCUCCCAAAUGUCUUCAUUAAAGUGACGGAACAAGUAAUUUAAUAAGUAGUUGUACUAGUUUUUGAGACAUACCUCACUAGAUUUUGGUGUUGCAUUAAUUCCUCCUUCAAAUCAAGUAGAUGGUAUAAUAAACUCAGUGAAUUCUUUAGAUAGAUUGAAACA